rnacentral:ncRNA from 1 species
UGACCCAAUCUCAUGCGAGAACACGCACUGAGUUUAAGCAUAUAAUUAAGUGGAGGAAAAGAAACUUACAAGGAUUCCCCUAGUAACGACAAGUGAAUCAGGAAGAGCCCAACAUGAAAAUCAGGUGGUAGCACCACAUGAAUUAUAGUCUGUAGAAGCAUCCUUAGUGGCAGACCGGGCGCAAGUCCCAUGGAAGGGGUGCCUGAGAGGGUGAAAACCCCAUUGGUUUGGGACCCUUCUGCACCAUGAGGCAUUGUCGAUGAGUCAGUUUUUUUGAGAAUGCAACCCUAAUCGGGUGGUAAAUUCCAUCCAUGGCUAAAUAUGGGUGAGAGAUUGAUAGCGAACAAGUACCACGAGGGAAAUAUGAAAAGGAAUUUGAAAAGAGAGUUAAAGAGUGCUUGAAAUUACCAGGAGGGAAGUGGAUGGAGGUCGACGAUGCAUCUUGUUCGGAUGUGAAAUGGCUCAAGCUGGUCCACCGCUCGACUCGAGGUGCAAACCAGCAGAGGUCGUUGCAUUGGAACAAGCACGAGUGGAGUACUACACUUUGUUUGUCAUUGUGGCAGUCGAGGAAUGAAGCAUGCACUCUUGGGGUAGGGCACUGUGCACCUGCACGCUAGUGGUGUUGGUUGGCAGGCUUUCCAUUCAACCCAUAUUGAAACACAGAACAAGGAUUAUAACAUGUGUGUGAGUUGGUGGGUUUGUAAACCUUCGAGGCAUAAGGAAGAUGACAAGAGAUAUCCCCUCUCCAUAGGGUGCAUUAUCGACUGAACUUGAGCUUUUGCAAAGGGUUUGAGUGUGAGCACACCUGUUGGGACUCAAAAUAUGGUGAACUAUGCCUGAGCAGGGCGAAGCCAGAGGAAACUCUGGUGGAGGCCCGUAGCGAUACUGAUGUGAAAAUCGUUCGUCUAACUUGGGUAUAGGGGUGAAAUACUAAUAGAACCAUCUAGUAGUUGGUUUCCUCCGAAGUUUCCCUCGGGAUAUUUGGAGAUCACGUGCAAGUUUUAUCGGUUAAAGAAAAUGAUUAGAGGCAUCAUGGGUGUAACACCCUUGACCUAUUCUCAAAAUUUAAAUUGGUAAGACGGUGCAGCUGCUCCAUUGAGCCAUGCCACAGAAUCGAGAGCUCCAAGUGAGCCAUUUUUGGUAAGAAUAACUGGCGAUGCGGGAUGAACUAAAAUUCGAGUUAUGGUACCAAAUUGCACAAUAACCCAGAUCCCACAAAGGGUGUUGGUUGAUUAAGACAGCAGGACAGUGGUCAUGGAAGUCGAAAUCUGCUAAGGAGUGUGUAACAACUCACCUGCCGAAUCAACUAGCCCCGAAAA